rnacentral:rRNA from 1 species
UACAGAGGUGGCAAGCGUUGUUCGGAAUUACUGGGCGUAAAGGGCUCGUAGGUGGCCAACUAAGUCAGACGUGAAAUCCCUCGGCUUAACCGGGGAACUGCGUCUGAUACUGGAUGGCUAGAGAUUGGGAGAGGGAUGCGGAAUUCCAGGUGUAGCGGUGAAAUGCGUAGAUAUCUGGAGGAACACCGGUGGCGAAGGCGGCAUCCUGGACCAACACUGACGCUGAGGAGCGAAAGCGUGGGGAGCAAACAGG